UGGAUAUGGAUGAUUGGAGUAAUACUUGACUGGAAUUUCCCCUGCUUCUUCCUAUAAUGUUUUUAGUGACAUUGAAGAGACUUGGGACUUGAAGGGUUUAAAUGCUGCAGAUAAAUGAUUCAGUCUGGGGGUCAACAAGCACCCAAAGAUGCUGCAGUCAGAUGGUGCUGAGAUCCCUCCUUCUUCACUAAGAUUCCUACAAUCCAUAUUUCAGC